rnacentral:misc_RNA from 1 species
GAUGAAGAACGCAGCGAAAUGCGAUAAGUAAUGUGAAUUGCAGAAUUCAGUGGAUCAUCGAAUCUUUGAACGCACCUUGCGCUCUUUGGUAUUCCGAAGAGCAUGCCUGUUUGAGUGUCAUGAAAAUAUCAACCUUGACUUGGGUUUUGUGCUCUAGUCUCGGCUUGGAAUUGGGUGCUUGCCGCUUUUACGAGCGGCUCACCUUAAAUGUAUUAGCUGGAUCUGUCUUUGAGACUUGGUUUGACUUGGCGUAAUAAGUAUUUCGCUAAGGACAUUCUUCGGAGUGGCCUCGUUUCUAGGACGCUUGUCCGCUUUCCAAUACAAGUUCCACCUCGUGGACAUGACUUUUUAUUAUCUGGCCUCAAAUCAGGUAGGACUACCCGCUGAACUUAAGCAUAUCAAUAAGCGGAGGA